rnacentral:rRNA from 1 species
UACGGAGGGUGCAAGCGUUGUUCGGAAUUAUUGGGCGUAAAGGGCGCGUAGGCGGCGCCACAAGUCACCUGUGAAAACUCUGGGCUCAACCCAGAGCCUGCAGGCGAAACUGUGGUGCUGGAGUAUGGGAGAGGUGCGUGGAAUUCCCGGUGUAGCGGUGAAAUGCGUAGAUAUCGGGAAGAACACCUAUGGCGAAGGCAGCUCUCUGGGACGGUACUGACGCUGAGAUGCGAAAGCGUGGGGAGCAAACAGG